GAGCAAUCCGAGUAGAGCGGCGCACGGGUGCGUAACACGUGGAUAAUCUGCCCUUGAAUUCGGGAUAACCUUCCGAAAGGUUGGCUAAUACCGGGUAAGCUCACGGUGACUUCGGUCGCUGUGGGAAAAGUAGACCUCUGUUUACAAGUUUACGUUUGAGGAUGAGUCCGCGGCCCAUCAGCUAGUUGGCGGGGUAAUGGCCCACCAAGGCUACGACGGGUAGCUGGUCUGAGAGGACGAUCAGCCACACUGGAACUGAGACACGGUCCAGACUCCUACGGGAGGCAGCAGUGGGGAAUUUUCCACAAUGGGCGAAAGCCUGAUGGAGCAACGCCGCGUGUGUGAUGAAGGUCUUAGGAUCGUAAAGCACUUUCGACCGGGACGAAAAACCUCUGGCUAACAUCCAGGGGCCUGACGGUACCGGGAGAAGAAGCACCGGCUAACUCUGUGCCAGCAGCCGCGGUAAUACAGAGGGUGCAAGCGUUGUUCGGAAUUAUUGGGCGUAAAGCGCGUGUAGGCGGCUUGGCAAGUCAGAUGUGAAAGCCCAUGGCUUAACCAUGGAAGUGCGUCUGAAACUGCUGAGCUUGAGUGCCGGAGAGGAUGGCGGAAUUCCGCAAGUAGAGGUGAAAUUCGUAGAUAUGCGGAGGAACACCGGUGGCGAAGGCGGCCAUCUGGACGGCAACUGACGCUGAGACGCGAAAGCGUGGGGAGCAAACAGGAUUAGAUACCCUGGUANUCCACGCUGUAAACGAUGAGAACUAGNUGUCGUGGGUGUUGACCCCCGCGGNGCCGUANCUAACGCAUUAAGUUCUCCGCCUGGGGNNUANGGUCGCAAGNCUGAAACUCAANG
rnacentral:rRNA from 1 species